rnacentral:rRNA from 1 species
AUGCCAUUUUGUAGGAGGAUGGCAAUUUUCAGCAUUCAUCCUAGAAAAUGUCACGAUGUUCUGAAGAAACUGCCUAAAAUUGCCAUCAAAACGUUCGCAAAUACCACCCCUUCCAACGAACGUUCGCGAGAUAAGAGGGUUUAUAAAAAAACUAAACAACAUUACGUGCUUAAGCAAACUGCUGAUUCGGUCCAUAGCCAAGAAAGUCAGAGAGGGACAGACAGGGUGAGAGAUUUUGAGAGAGAAACGGAGAGGUCGCUAGAGAGAGAAACAGAGAGGUCGCUAGAGAGAGAAACAGAGAGGCUGCGUCUCCCGCACACAAAGACUACCUUAGCAUUCAUGCCGCCAUGCACGCAUCAUCGUCCACCUCCCUCUAAACUCUAUAAAAACCCCUCCUAUCCACCCGAACGAAACCUGAAAAACCUGACUCAUACCUUCCGGCAGUGCUAG